rnacentral:rRNA from 1 species
UACGUAGGGUGCAAGCGUUAAUCGGAAUUACUGGGCGUAAAGCGUGCGCAGGCGGUUUUGUAAGUCUGUCGUGAAAGCCCCGGGCUUAACCUGGGAAUUGCGAUGGAGACUGCAAGGCUUGAAUCUGGCAGAGGGGUGUAGAAUUCCACGUGUAGCAGUGAAAUGCGUAGAGAUGUGGAGGAACACCGAUGGCGAAGGCAGCCCCCUGGGUCAAGAUUGACGCUCAUGCACGAAAGCGUGGGGAGCAAACAGG